AACGCGAAGAACCUUACCUGGGUUUGACAUCUACUGGAAGGGUCGCAGAAAUGCGCCCGCCUUCGGGCCGGUAGACAGGUGCUGCAUGGCUGUCGUCAGCUCGUGUCGUGAGAUGUUGGGUUAAGUCCCGCAACGAGCGCAACCCUUAUGUUUAGUUGCCAGCAUUCAGUUGGGCACUCUAAACAGACUGCCGACGUUAAGUCGGAGGAAGGUGGGGAUGACGUCAAGUCCUCAUGGCCUUUAUAUCCAGGGCUACACACGUGCUACAAUGGUCGGUACAGAGGGCAGCCAAAUAGUAAUAUGGAGCUAAUCCCACAAAGCCGAUCUAAGUUCAGAUUGAGGUCUGCAAUUCGACCUCAUGAAGGUGGAAUCGCUAGUAAUCGCGGAUCAGAACGCCGCGGUGAAUACGUUCCCGGGCCUUGUACACACCGAGACGUA
rnacentral:rRNA from 1 species